UACGGAGGGUGCGAGCGUUGUCCGGAAUCAUUGGGCGUAAAGGGCGCGUAGGCGGCCUGAUAAGUCGGGGGUGAAAUCCUGCGGCUUAACCGCAGGGCUGCCUUCUAAACUGUCAGGCUUGAGCACAGUAGAGGCAGGUGGAAUUCCCGGUGUAGCGGUGGAAUGCGUAGAGAUCGGGAAGAACACCCGUGGCGAAGGCGCCGCUCUGGGCCGAGACUGACGCUGAGGAGCGAAAGCGUGGGUAGCAAACAGG
rnacentral:rRNA from 1 species